CAGUAGCCGCGGUAAUACGGAGGGAGCUAGCGUUGUUCGGAAUUACUGGGCGUAAAGCGCACGUAGGCGGCUUUGUAAGUUAGAGGUGAAAGCCUGGAGCUCAACUCCAGAAUUGCCUUUAAGACUGCAUCGCUUGAAUCCAGGAGAGGUGAGUGGAAUUCCGAGUGUAGAGGUGAAAUUCGUAGAUAUUCGGAAGAACACCAGUGGCGAAGGCGGCUCACUGGACUGGUAUUGACGCUGAGGUGCGAAAGCGUGGGGAGCAAACAGGAUUAGAUACCCGAGUAGUCCCUGUCUCUUAUAC
rnacentral:rRNA from 1 species